rnacentral:lncRNA from 1 species
GUUUAUUGAUGGCAAAUUAAGGAACUCCUGAAUUUAGAAGCUGGAAGAACAAGUAAGCUACAGUGAAUAUCUGGCAGCUGCUGGGCACUGCUAAACUUCGCCCCAUGGAGUCUUUCACAGCAGUAGCUUCUAAAGACAUGGACUUAGAGUGAUCUGCUGUUAGUGGUAACCUGUGCCCGGCACACCCGGGUAUCUGUUGAAUGAAUGACUGUCAGACUGGAGGAGUGAGUGAACGACUAGACAAAAACUAAGCACCCCAUAAGGAAUAGGAGCCAGACAGGUCAAUACAGUAAUUUAACCAAAUGUUUGCUGAGAAAUCAAGCACCGCGGGAGAUCUGAGGACACA